rnacentral:lncRNA from 1 species
GUUCAGCUCUUCUACAGACUGUCCUUCUAUUAUUAAUGAGCCAGGGACUGAACUGAGACCUCUCAAUGACAGCGAGCAGAUAAGACGUGUGGAAGGAUAUUCCGAGGAGGAAAUUUCAAAAUGAAGAAAACCCUUUCCUCUUGAGAUCUUGCCUCCAAACCAGGCUUUGGGUUGGGCGAGAUCCGAGAGCAGCGUUGCACCUCAAUCCAGACUGACCUCACGGCGGCAGCAGGGAGCAGAGUGUCGGGCGGAUGCCCAGAACCGCCCGAAGCCGAAGGGGAGGAAGUACAGCCCCAGGAGGUAGGGCUCCCUCUGGCCUCGCC